rnacentral:tRNA from 1 species
CGGGAAGUAGCUCAGCUUGGUAGAGCACUUGGUUUGGGACCAAGGGGUCGCAGGUUCGAAUCGGUCGCAGGUUCGAAUCCU